rnacentral:lncRNA from 1 species
GAAUAUAGAGAAGCUGCUCGGGGGGCUCUGGGGCAGUGGGGGAAGGGACGUUCUUCCUCCUUCACAUGGGCCUAUGCUUCAGAGCCAUGGGGAGAGUUUCUGUUCUUUCCUGUGGUGCCCACAUCAGCCUGGAGGGAUGGGCAGGGCAGGGGCUGCCACCCAGAGUUGACAGCUCUGGGAAGUGAAAUGAGGGAUUUGAAGUGACCUGCCCAGAGUCACAGCACUCGGGAGUGAUGGAUCUGGGACAAGAAUGUAGUUGGUUUUCUGGGGACAGAGGUCCCUGAACGCCUGAGACCUCCAAAUCAUGGACUGGACCCUGAACCAGGGGCUCUUUUCACUCCCUUUCUCGAUCCUCCUGCCCCAGGUCUCUUCAGGAAGGUGGAUGCCUGGAGGUGGCUAAGUCCAGAGAAGAGCUUCAAUCAUUCAAACAGAAACCUCCGGCCCCUGACCUUGCUUUGUGGUGAGCACAUGACCAGUGACCAUCCCAAGGGACCAGGGGGGUCUGUUUGGCCGCCAGGCUGGCUCAGAACUCAGGACGUUCCAAGCCAACUGCCACUUAACGGCUGUGCCAGGAAAAAACCUUCCUGCAACUGACCAACCCUGCAGGAGCAGUUAACGGAAGUUAACUGAAAAUGUGGCCAUCGGGGCUGGUGCAUCAGUGGUUUGAUGAAUUCUAUCCACGACCCAUCCAUCUUGCUGACGGCCGACCUGAGCAGCUACCUGAGAGCUGGCAGCGCUCGCUCGAUGAAGGCCGCCGAAUGACCUGGAAGCCACCCUGAUGGGCAGGGCCCUCGAGGUUAAUGAGACACAGGUUUGGAUGUCUCUAUUCAGAAGACUUUGGCCUGUAAUCCCCCUCUCAUGGGCUGUCUCACACCGCACUUGGUAUCAAGAUUCUCCCGAUCUGGUGAAGGCAGUGUUGCUGUGUUCCUUCUGGAUCUAUUCUAUGGAAAAGAGUGCAUAAAAUUGGCAUGGGAAAUGGGACAUUUUUCUAAAUAGAGGAAAAUAUUUAAGGCAAAAAUCCUGAUAGAAAAAUCAAGAAUACAAAUUCAGAGCUUGGGAAAUUCAUCUCUCCACCAUCUCCAAUCUGAGGACGGGGUAUGUUACACUAACCUUCAGGUACAGCUGUGAUGAAGGAUGAAGUGUUGACUGAUGCGGGGAUGGAAUUUUGUUUCUAGAACAUUGAUCCUUGGGUUGUGCUUUGCACAGAGGAGCAUGCUUUCUAGAGAAAUGCACACACACUCCCAAAGGCAUUCACCAUCACUCCACACGGACUCUCUCCUCCAUAUCUCCCCACCCUGAUGCACCCCUAUUCCUAUUUAAAUGACAUCACUGCUUCUGGGAACUGCAGUGGAUGGCCACAGUUGUUGACUAAACUCUUCAUUUCUUUACACCAAACUGCCCAAACCUCAUUUCCAGCAGGAGGCUCAAACCAGGGUAGUUCUCCAGCAAAAGUAGGGAGGAAAGUGUCACCUUUCUCAAAGCUAAGAUUUUUCCUUAUUAAAUGGGAGAUCCCAGAGUACGCACGUUAGAGCUGAAUCGCUGAGUGUGUCUGCAGAGAGAAAGGAAAACACCGUGAGCCUCAGACCAUGCUGUGUCCUGUGUUCAUGGGUCUUUUCUUCACUUGGUGACAUUAGAAAACUGGUUGGGAGAUAGUGCUCGAGGCAAUGGCCCCCAAAUAAAGCCUAGAAGACACUUGAGGAAAUGUAAAAAAAAAAAAAAA